GAUAGUUUUAGAAGUUAAAAUGGAUGAAAUCUUUUUUUUUGGUUUAAUUUUGCUUUUUAUUAAUCAACUUACAAAGAGUUUAAAUACAUGAAUAGACAUUGUGAAUCUUAAAAAUAUAUGUGGCCCAAAAAUGACCAAAUAAAUAAAACCCGGCCCACAUUAUUGAUCCGCCCCACUUUACCCAUUUAAGAAAUAGUAGGGUUUCUAAAUUAAUCAUCCCAUCUGGUCUUUCCCUUUCAUCGCCUCUUUCUCCAUAGCUAUCUUCCUUUACCUUUGAUUUUUUCUUGUUCAGCUUUGGGUGACCAGUACCAUUCCUUUGUUUCUUAUUUUGGUUGCUUCAAGCUUGUAUAAGUAAGCAAAUAUCUUCAUUUCUUCUUGUACACAUCCGAAUCUAACCUUUGCUUUCUUCAGGUAAAAUCUUCAGUAUUCUACCUAUGUUUUUUGGUGCUAAAAGGAGGGUCUCGUCUAUUGAAACUCAUUCCUUUCCUCUUCUGUGAUGGAAAUCAAAAACUCGGACUCGCUGAUAGUUGACGAAAAAAUCUACAUUCAGCUGCUUGCAUUCUCUCUGACAUGGUGACCCCUGAUCUACUGAGGUUCCCUCCAUGUUGGCUGAUGUAAAUAGACAUAGUAUUUCCACUUUUUUGUUCAGCUCCGUUUGUAGAUAAAAUGUUAGUGAACACACUUAUUGUAUCCUUUCCAGAUCUAUUAGCAUGUUGCUACUUUUAAUCUCAA